rnacentral:rRNA from 1 species
GAUGAACGCUGGCGGCGUGCUUAACACAUGCAAGUCGAACGUGAAGAAGCAGCAAUGUUUCUGAAAGUGGCGGACGGGUGAGUAACACGUGGGUGACCUGCCUUGCAGAGGGGGAUAACGAGGGGAAACCUUCGCUAAUACCGCAUAGGCUUACACCGAUGGGAAUGGUGUGGGUAAAACUGAGGUGCUGCAAGAGGGGCCUGCGUCCGAUUAGCUAGUUGGUGAGGUAAUGGCUCACCAAGGCGAUGAUCGGUAGCUGGUCUGAGAGGACGAUCAGCCACACGGGAACUGAGAAACGGUCCCGACUCCUACGGGGGGCAGCAGUGAGGAAUAUUGGGCAAUGGACGAAAGUCUGACCCAGCAACGCCGCGUGGAGGAUGAAGGUUUUUGGAUGUAAACUACCUUUUGUUGGGGAAGAGUGAGGACGGUACCCCAACGAAUAAGUCACGGCUAACUACGUGCCAGCAGCCG